CCCUUAGAUGUUCUGGGCCGCACGCGCGCUACACUGAUUCAUGCAACAAGUUUUGUCCUUGGCUGAUAGGCCUGGGUAAUCUUUGAACGUGAAUCGUGAUGGGGAUAGAUGAUUGCAAUUAUUCAUCUUCAACGAGGAAUUCCUAGUAAACGCAAGUCAUCAGCUUGCAUUGAUUACGUCCCUGCCCUUUGUACACACCGCCCGUCGCGCCUACCGAUUGAAUGGUCCGGUGAAAUCUUCGGAUCUGAGAGAUGUCUGAUUAAUUUCGGACGCCUUUUGGAAAAGUUGCUUAAACCUUACCAUUUAGAGGAAGGUGAAGUCGUAACA
rnacentral:rRNA from 1 species